UUGACCUCAAAUCAGGUAGGAUUACCCGCUGAACUUAAGCAUAUCAAUAAGCGGAGGAAAAGAAACUAACAAGGAUUCCCCUAGUAACUGCGAGUGAAGAGGGAAAAGCUCAAAUUUAAAAUCUGGCAGCUUGCUGUCCGAGU
rnacentral:rRNA from 1 species